UACGUAGGGAGAGCGCGUUAAUCGGAAUUACUGGGCGUAAAGCGUGCGCAGGCGGCUUCGCAAGUCAGACGUGAAAUCCCCGGGCUCAACUUGGGAAUGGCGUUUGAAACUACGAGGCUGGAGUGUGGCAGAGGGAGGUGGAAUUCCACGUGUAGCGGUGAAAUGCGUAGAGAUGUGGAGGAACACCGAUGGCGAAGGCAGCCUCCUGGGCCAACACUGACGCUCAUGCACGAAAGCGUGGGGAGCAAACAGG
rnacentral:rRNA from 1 species